CAUCUUACCGGGCAGCAUUAGAGUGUAUUUGUUCUUAGCUCUAAUACUGUCAGGUAAAGAUGUC
rnacentral:pre_miRNA from 1 species